AACACAGCGGUGUAAUGGUAUCACGCCCGCACAUAGGUUCAAGCAUAUUCUGCGGGAGUUCCCUGUUCGAUUCGGGCUGGGUCA